UACAGAAAGAGACACAGAAUCUCAGUAGAUUGGACUUUUAUCUUCUACAAACCUAAGUCAGUAAGAAGAAAUUCUUCUCAGAAUGUAGCUGAUACACACACAAACAUGACAGAUGAAUUCACCUUCAAGAGUUAGGCUUAGGCUCUGGAAUUGCACUCCAGUGAGCAGACAGCAGCAAAAUGGAAAAAAACAACCAAACCUUUCCUCAACAAACCUCAGACUGCAAGACAUGAACUGCCAGUGAUUUGCAGAAAACUUUCUAGCAGACUCUGCCAUCAGCCAACAUGUGGUGAGCAAUGAUAUCUUUCUUCCUAAGCUGGGGCACAGGUGAAAAUGGUGAUUUAGGCCAGGACAUGCAUAUGUGUAUUUUGCUCACUCUGAGAAGAACUCCCCAAAUGGCUGCUCCAAUUAAUAGCUGGUAAC
rnacentral:lncRNA from 1 species